CCUACGGGAGGCAGCAGUGAGGAAUAUUGGUCAAUGGCCGGAAGGCUGAACCAGCCAUGCCGCGUGAAGGUCAGUGCCCUAUGGGCGUUAAACUUCUUUUGUGCGGGAGCAAUAAUGGUCACGUGUGGCCAGACGAGAGUACCGUACGAAUAAGCAUCGGCUAACUCCGUGCCAGCAGCCGCGGUAAUACGGGGGAUGCAAGCGUUAUCCGGAUGUAUUGGGUUUAAAGGGUGCGUAGGCUGUGAGGUAAGUCAGCGGUGAAAUGCCCCCGCUCAACGGGGUGAAGUGCAAUUGAUACUGCCGUGCUGGAAUGCGGAUGCCGUGGGAGGAAUGUGUGGUGUAGCGGUGAAAUGCAUAGAUAUCACACAGAACACCGAUUGCGAAGGCAUCUCACGAAGCCGCGAUUGACGCUGAUGCACGAAAGCGUGGGUAUCAAACAGGAUUAGAUAUCCCAGUAGUC
rnacentral:rRNA from 1 species